rnacentral:rRNA from 1 species
UACGUAGGGUGCGAGCGUUGUCCGGAAUUAUUGGGCGUAAAGGGCUCGUAGGCGGUUUGUCGCGUCGGGAGUGAAAAUCCAGGGCUUAACUCUGGACUGGCUUUCGAUACGGGCAGACUAGAGGUAUGCAGGGGAGAACGGAAUUCCUGGUGUAGCGGGUGAAAUGCGCAGAUAUCAGGAGGAACACCGGUGGCGAAGGCGGUUCUCUGGGCAUUACCUGACGCUGAGGAGCGAAAGUGUGGGGAGCGAACAGGG